rnacentral:rRNA from 1 species
UCGGGUGUGUAAGCGUAGCGAUACGUUGAGCUAACCGAUACUAAUGAACCGUGAGGCUUAACCUUACAACGCCGAAG